UGGGGAAUAUUGCACAAUGGGCGCAAGCCUGAUGCAUCCAUGCCGCGUGUAUGAAGAAGGCCUUCGGGUUGUAAAGUACUUUCAGCGGGGAGGAAGGCGAUAAGGUUAAUAACCUUGUCGAUUGACGUUACCCGCAGAAGAAGCACCGGCUAACUCCGUGCCAGCAGCCGCGGUAAUACGGAGGGUGCAAGCGUUAAUCGGAAUUACUGGGCGUAAAGCGCACGCAGGCGGUCUGUCAAGUCGGAUGUGAAAUCCCCGGGCUCAACCUGGGAACUGCAUUCGAAACUGGCAGGCUAGAGUCUUGUAGAGGGGGGUAGAAUUCCAGGUGUAGCGGUGAAAUGCGUAGAGAUCUGGAGGAAUACCGGUGGCGAAGGCGGCCCCCUGGACAAAGACUGACGCUCAGGUGCGAAAGCGUGGGGAGCAAACA
rnacentral:rRNA from 1 species